rnacentral:rRNA from 1 species
GCUAGUAAUGGCAGGUCAGCAUACUGCCGUGAAUACGUUCCCGGGCCUUGUACACACCGCCCGUCACACCAUGAGAGUUGGGAAUACCCGAAGCCUGUGAGCUAACUUUAAGAGGCAGCAGUCGAAGGUAGAAUCAAUGAUUGGGGUGAAGUCGUAACAAGGUAUC